AUCCCUACUUUGACAUGUUAUAUUCCAAAUGUAUUUAUUGAUACUGUGUACAUUUUUUGUCAUUUCUGAUGUCUUUAACAGUUGUUUUAUGUGUGUUUUUCAGGAUUACAUUUCUGUGCGGAAGGAUUAAAAAACUACACCAGACUGGUGGCCAUGACAGAUGUCAGUGGGAAAUUUAAACAUGGACUAGAUACUUUGAUGUGUAGCAAAAAAGUUCAUCGUUGAUGGUGGUGUUUUUCUGUGAUAUAUUGACUGGGAUAGUAUUACUCUUCAGAAAUACAGAGCUGUCAAUGCUGCAAUUUUGUUGUGAAAUUCACAAUCCAUGUCCAAAAGUGCUUGUUUUACUAUACAGCAAAGAAGGAGAAGAUUGUACCGGGCCGACACCUAUAUGGCAAAUUCAGAAAGUGGAAUAUCUCAGCAACCAUAGGGUUUACAGUCAUGAAACUUCACACACUAGUAGCUGAUAACAAUACAAAUCAGUGGCUAAAAGGAUAUUUCCAAGGCGAUGAAUUCCAUAUGUCAGAAGGAAAUUUAGAAUCGUACAACCAGUCAGCAGCUACCCAUAAACCAGACCAACCUAUUAAGUCGAGCGGGCAGAAGCUGUUAUUCCCAGUGUAACACCGCAGAAUGACGGCUAGUUUUCGGAUUACAUUUCUGUGCGGAAGGAUAAAAAAACUACACCAGACUGGUGGCCAUGACAGAUGUCAGUGGGAAAUUUAAACAUGGACUAGAUACUUUGAUGUGUAGCAAAAAAGUUCAAUCGUUGAUG